AGAGUUUGAUCCUGGCUCAGAGCGAACGCUGGCGGCAGGCCUAACACAUGCAAGUCGAACGAACCCUUCGGGGUGAGUGGCGGACGGGUGAGUAACACGUGGGAACGUACCCUUUGGUUCGGAACAACACAGGGAAACUUGUGCUAAUACCGGAUGUGCCCUUCGGGGGAAAGAUUUAUCGCCGAUGGAUCGGCCCGCGUCUGAUUAGCUAGUUGGUGAGGUAAUGGCUCACCAAGGCGACGAUCAGUAGCUGGUCUGAGAGGAUGAUCAGCCACACUGGGACUGAGGCACGGCCCAGACUCCUACGGGAGGCAGCAGUGGGGAAUAUUGGACAAUGGGCGAAAGCCUGAUCCAGCCAUGCCGCGUGAGUGAUGAAGGCCUUAGGGUUGUAAAGCUCUUUCGGCGGGGACGAUAAUGACGGUACCCGCAGAAGAAGCCCCGGCUAACUUCGUGCCAGCAGCCGCGGUAAUACGAAGGGGGCUAGCGUUGCUCGGAAUCACUGGGCGUAAAGGGCGCGUAGGCGGCCGAUCAAGUCAGAGGUGAAAGCCCAAGGCUCAACCUUGGAAUUGCCUUUGAUACUGUUCGGCGCGAGACCGGAAGAGGUAAGUGGAACUGCGAGUGUAGAGGUGAAAUUCGUAGAUAUUCGCAAGAACACCAGUGGCGAAGGCGGCUUACUGGUCCGGUUCUGACGCUGAGGCGCGAAAGCGUGGGGAGCAAACAGGAUUAGAUACCCCCGUAGUCC
rnacentral:rRNA from 2 species